rnacentral:rRNA from 1 species
GGCGCACGGGUGCGUAACGCGUAUGCAACUUGCCUCACAGAGGGGGAUAACCCGUCGAAAGACGGACUAAUACCGCGUACACUCCACUUUGGGCAUCCAAAGUAGAGGAAAUGAAAUUCGCUGUGAGAUAGGCAUGCGUCCCAUUAGCUAGUUGGUGAGGUAACGGCUCACCAAGGCGACGAUGGGUAGGGGAACUGAGAGGUUGAACCCCCACACUGGUACUGAGACACGGACCAGACUCCUACGGGAGGCAGCAGUGAGGAAUAUUGGUCAAUGGGCGAGAGCCUGAACCAGCCAAGUCGCGUGAAGGAUGACUGUCUUAUGGAUUGUAAACUUCUUUUAUACGGGAAUAACAAGAGCCACGUGUGGCUCCCUGCAUGUACCGUAUGAAUAAGCAUCGGCUAACUCCGUGCCAGCAGCCGCGGUAAUACGGAGGAUGCGAGCGUUAUCCGGAUUUAUUGGGUUUAAAGGGUGCGUAGGCGGCCUGUUAAGUCAGCGGUGAAAUCUAGGAGCUUAACUCCUAAAUUGCCUUGAUACUGGGCGGGCUUGAGUGUAGAUGAGGUA